GACGAACGCUGGCGGCGUGCUUAACACAUGCACGUCGAACGAAGUGGCGAACGGGUGAGUAACGCGUAAUCAACCUGCCCUUCAGAGGGGGACAACAGUUGGAAACGACUGCUAAUACCGCAUACUGAUGGCGGGGAUUGCGUCUGAUUAGCUAGUUGGAGGGGUAACGGCCCACCAAGGCGAUGAUCAGUAGCCGGUCUGCGAGGAUGAACGGCAACAUUGGGACUGAGACACGGCCCAGACUCCUACGGGAGUCAGCAGUGGGGAAUCGUCCGCAAUGGACGAAAGUCUGACGGAGCAACGCCGCGUGAGUGAUGACGGCUUUCGGGUGGUAAAGCUCUGUUAAUCGGGACGCGGUACCGGAAUAGAAAGCCACGGCUAACUACGUGCCAGCCGCCGCGGUAAUUC
rnacentral:rRNA from 1 species